rnacentral:rRNA from 1 species
CCUACGGGUGGCAGCAGUGGGGAAUAUUGGGCAAUGGGCGCAAGCCUGACCCAGCGACGCCGCGUGAAGGAAGAAGGCUUUCGGGUUGUACACUUCUUUUCUCAGGGACGAAGCAAGUGACGGUACCUGAGGAAUAAGCCACGGCUAACUACGUGCCAGCAGCCGCGGUAAUACGUAGGUGGCAAGCGUUAUACGGAUUUACUGGGUGUAAAGGGCGUGUAGGCGGGACUGCAAGUCAGAUGUGAAAACCACGGGCUCAACCUGUGGACUGCAUUUGAAACUGUAGUUCUGGAGUACUGGAGAGGAAGACGGAAUUCCUGGUGUAGCGGUGAAAUGCGUAGAGAUUAGGAGGAACACCAGUGGCGAAGGCGGUCGGCUGGACAGCAACUGACGCUGAGGAGCGAAAGCGUGGGGAGCAAACAGGAUUAGAUACCCUAGUAGUC